rnacentral:rRNA from 1 species
UACGAAGGGGGCUAGCGUUGUUCGGAAUUACUGGGCGUAAAGCGCGCGCAGGCGGUCCUUCAAGUCAGGGGUGAAAGCCCAGGGCUCAACCCUGGAAUGGCCUUUGAGACUAGAGGACUUGGGUACGGGAGAGGUGAGUGGAAUUCCGAGUGUAGAGGUGAAAUUCGUAGAUAUUCGGAAGAACACCAGUGGCGAAGGCGGCUCACUGGCCCGUUACCGACGCUCAGGCGCGACAGCGUGGUGAGCAAACAGG